CUCCAAAGUAUUGGUUGGUGUCCCACCUCCUGCCCUCUUUGGUGGAUAGACUCCAGCAGUCCCGUGAUCCUUGUGAGGAUGAGUGGCUCAGAAAAUGGAUGGAUGACUAACAAUGGCCAUCGAGGGUAUUAGUUGUCAUUGAUGUCGGCAUCAGGUGAGAGAACCAAGGCA